rnacentral:lncRNA from 13 species
ACAAUCUUUUAUACAAGGUUGUGUAAUACAAGAUACAAGAUAAACAUUGACCACAUUUUAAGGUAAAAUUUCUGAAGUCCUCAUAUUUUUAUUUACUUCUUAUUCAGGUUGCCUCCUGAAUUACAGAAAGUAUAGAAAAUAGAAGAUACCAGGAAAAUACUCCUCUCCAAAGCUUUAUUUCUCUUUUUUUGCAAAGAUGUGUCCUGGUUCCAUUUCCUGUUCAUUGUCCUGGGGUCUGCAGUGAGCAUUUUUGCAUCAUAUGUUCCAGUGCUUGUGUGGAGCACCCUGCCUUGCUGUCAUAUGCCCAUCUCAGUAUCUCUGUGUUUGUGUUGGUGCUCACAUGUGUUACUGCAUUCCCAAAUCCUUUGUCCUUUUUCCAUCUC